UUCCCUUCGGGGACAUUGGUGACAGGUGGUGCAUGGUUGUCGUCAGCUCGUGUCGUGAGAUGUUGGGUUAAGUCCCGCAACGAGCGCAACCCUUGUCUUUAGUUGCCAUCAUUAAGUUGGGCACUCUAGAGAGACUGCCAGGGAUAACCUGGAGGAAGGUGGGGAUGACGUCAAAUCAUCAUGCCCCUUAUGCUUAGGGCUACACACGUGCUACAAUGGGUAGUACAGAGGGUUGCCAAGCCGUAAGGUGGAGCUAAUCCCUUAAAGCUACUCUCAGUUCGGAUUGUAGGCUGAAACUCGCCUACAUGAAGCUGGAGUUACUAGUAAUCGCAGAUCAGAAUGCUGCGGUGAAUGCGUUCCCGGGUCUUGUACACACCGCCCGUCACACCACGGGAGUUGGAGACGCCCGAAGCCGAUUAUCUAACCUUUUGGAAGAAGUCGUCGAAGGUGGAAUCAAUAACUGGGGUGAAGUCGUAACAAGGUAGCCGUAUCGGAAGGUGCGGCUGGAUCACCUCCUUU
rnacentral:rRNA from 1 species